rnacentral:rRNA from 1 species
CCUACGGGCGGCAGCAGUGGGGAAUAUUGGACAAUGGGGGGAACCCUGAUCCAGCCAUGCCGCGUGUGUGAAGAAGGCCCUCGGGUUGUAAAGCACUUUCAGUGAGGAAGAACGCCUGGUGGUUAAUACCCAUCAGGAAAGACAUCACUCACAGAAGAAGCACCGGCAACUCCGUGCCAGCAGCCGCGGUAAUACGGAGGGUGCGAGCGUUAAUCGGAAUUACUGGGCGUAAAGCGCGCGUAGGUGGCUUGAUAAGCCGGUUGUGAAAGCCCCGGGCUCAACCUGGGAACUGCAUCCGGAACUGUCAAGCUAGAGUGCAGGAGAGGCAGGUAGAAUUCGCGGUGUAGCGGUGAAAUGCGUAGAGAUCGGGAGGAAUACCAGUGGCGAAGGCGGCCUUCUGGACUGAAACUGACACUGAGGUGUGAAAGCGUGGGUAGCGAACAGGAUUAGAUACCCUGGUAGUC